ACCUGGCUCAGAUUGAACGCUGGCGGCAGGCUUAACACAUGCAAGUCGAGCGGGGGAAGGUAGCUUGCUACUGGACCUAGCGGCGGACGGGUGAGUAAUGCUUAGGAAUCUGCCUAUUAGUGGGGGACAACAUCUCGAAAGGGAUGCUAAUACCGCAUACGUCCUACGGGAGAAAGCAGGGGAUCUUCGGACCUUGCGCUAAUAGAUGAGCCUAAGUCGGAUUAGCUAGUUGGUGGGGUAAAGGCCUACCAAGGCGACGAUCUGUAGCGGGUCUGAGAGGAUGAUCCGCCACACUGGGACUGAGACACGGCCCAGACUCCUACGGGAGGCAGCAGUGGGGAAUAUUGGACAAUGGGGGGAACCCUGAUCCAGCCAUGCCGCGUGUGUGAAGAAGGCCUUAUGGUUGUAAAGCACUUUAAGCGAGGAGGAGGCUACUUUAGUUAAUACCUAGAGAUAGUGGACGUUACUCGCAGAAUAAGCACCGGCUAACUCUGUGCCAGCAGCCGCGGUAAUACAGAGGGUGCGAGCGUUAAUCGGAUUUACUGGGCGUAAAGCGUGCGUAGGCGGCUUAUUAAGUCGGAUGUGAAAUCCCCGAGCUUAACUUGGGAAUUGCAUUCGAUACUGGUGAGCUAGAGUAUGGGAGAGGAUGGUAGAAUUCCAGGUGUAGCGGUGAAAUGCGUAGAGAUCUGGAGGAAUACCGAUGGCGAAGGCAGCCAUCUGGCCUAAUACUGACGCUGAGGUACGAAAGCAUGGGGAGCAAACAGGAUUAGAUACCCUGGUAGUCCAUGCCGUAAACGAUGUCUACUAGCCGUUGGGGCCUUUGAGGCUUUAGUGGCGCAGCUAACGCGAUAAGUAGACCGCCUGGGGAGUACGGUCGCAAGACUAAAACUCAAAUGAAUUGACGGGGGCCCGCACAAGCGGUGGAGCAUGUGGUUUAAUUCGAUGCAACGCGAAGAACCUUACCUGGCCUUGACAUACUAGAAACUUUCCAGAGAUGGAUUGGUGCCUUCGGGAAUCUAGAUACAGGUGCU
rnacentral:rRNA from 1 species